GUCCUUUUCGCUCCAUCCAUCUGCAUAUGGUCACUCCUCCAUACUGAGGCAUCCAAAGGCCUCCUUUGAAUAUGCCCAUACCAUCGUAACCGACAUUCUCUGAGUUUAUCCUGAAUUGAGGCAAUCUCCAAAUCGAAUCUAACCUGAUCAUUUUUUGUUCUAUCUAUCAGGGUUCUACCACACAUCCAAUUCAAUAUGUUUAGUAAUCAGUGGAGCCUAUCUCGAGCUUUAACCAUUCAAUACCAACUUUUGACACCUUAACCUAAACCAUACUUUUGUACAAGAUCUACCCAAUUUGGAUUGGCUUUUUGAUUUAGAUUAGGCUAAGUUACCAAUUUGAUUCGAUUUUUGAAACCCUAGCUAAAAUGCUUAUUUAAUUUCCUUUGGCUUCCAUGGUUCUUCCUUCCAUUAUACAUCAUAAAUAUUUUCAUCCUCCUCAUGGAAAGAGCUAAAAGAGUUGGGGCACGUCCAAAAUGAUUAUUGAAGAAUUGGUAAAGAAAGACAUAAAGAAGUUAUGUCUAUAUUACCAAUGAAACAGAAUUGUUUGGAGGACUAAGAUCUAUUUUACCGAUGGCAUUUAGUUCGGAUGUUCUAAAGAUGUUGCUUUGAUAUGUUUUUUUAUAUUUUUUAUAUCCAUUUCCUUUCUUUUGCUUGUAUCUUGCUCUAUCGCAGAUCUAUGUAAUUGACCUCAUUUAGGUAGAAAAAGGUUUUGAGGUUGUUGUUAUACACUCGUCCCCCCAUAUAGUUCAUCGUUGUGUUUUUAUUUCUCUCUUUUAACAUUGACCCAAGUCCCUAGUCCCAAGUUAGGGUUACGGCUUACAGGGGCCGGUUCUUCAUCGAUCUAGAUCGAAAGUGGCUGGGACCGAUACGGAUCCCCAUUCCGGGUUUUUAAUCCUCGCGGUCUUUCCUUGUCACUUUUGGAAGCCCAUACUAAAAAUAUCCUACUUGAAGCAGAAGUACUUCAGGUGCAAUCCCAGAUCAACUGCUUCUAUGUGGCCACAGAUCCACUCUCUCGUCUGGCUUAGGCUGCCCAGGCCCUGCUGGAGUUGCAGGCUGAUGCAUCAGAGAUACUUGGCAUGUGCUUCUUCCAAACUAUUGAAUGCGCCAAGAAGCUACAUUCCGAUGUAUUACAUAAGGCCAAACACUAUAAUCUCAAUGAAGGUUCUUCAAACACAAUACAGUGAACAGGUUAACCCAUCAGAAAUCUAGGGCCCUAUACAAGAGGGAAGAAGAACAAGGAGGAGAAGGGGAAAGAAACAAGAGUAGAGAAGAAGAAACAGAAGGACAAGAAGAGAAGGGGAAAAAGGAACAGAAAGGAGGAGGAGGAGAGGAAGAAGAAACUACUUUCAGAGAUGAAAGAAAGAAAAAUGCUGGCCUUUUUGGCGUUUCUGGACCAGAGGUCAAGGCACAAAGCUGGCUUGAGCCGCAGGAUCUUUUGCAAGUAUAAUGAAGGAUUCAGCACCACAAUGUCUUGUGCGGCUACCUUUGGGUGUUGAAAAACUCAUUGAUUCCCGAUCUUCAGGAAGAAAGGAAGGGUGUUUUCAUGCAUGGCACUGACUGCUGUCGUGUAGGUAAGGGAUAGUAGGAUACAGAGAUUCAAAACUCUUCCAGACCAUCCUUCAGAGAGAAUCUAGGGCAAAAGACCAUAUCACAGACUGGUUUCAUUUUGUGUGGAGUUUCACGGAGAUGCUUAAAGCCAAUAUAGACCUGUAGAUGAGCUUCUUUCAUAACCAGUAUUAUUCAGACCUGUAACCGUGUGGCUUUGUUUCUGGUUUAACAUCUUAAAGUAUAACACAAGCCUUUUGUGGGGUUUUCACCUCUAACCCAGAAUUGGUUGAUCAACUUAUAGCAACCUGUUAGAAAGUCCUAAAAAUACUCUUGUACACUUGCAUUUUCCUCACCCAAGUUUUUAAGUCUUCAAGAGUUUUUAGGUUAGUAAAAAGAGAAGAAACCUCCUUGAAGUUAUACAUUCCCUUCUCCAGUCCUCUUAUUGCUAAGAUUCUUCAAGUUCAAAUAAACUGAUGUUCUGUUUGCUUUUUGCAGAAGAGUUUGGACAUGAUCUGACUAUAAUGAGGCAUCUCUCUUAAAAAUACAGGUUUCCCAUAUUUCCCUCUAGGAAUUCCUGUUUUCAGUCAAAAGAACUUCUGAGCCCUCAAAAAAAAAAAAAAAAAAAAAAAAAAAAAAAAAAAAAAAAAAAAAAAGCUUGUGACAAUCAACUUCUUAUCUGUAGAGCUUUGAUAGAGUUGUACAAUCCAAAUGAAUGUUGUUUGUGUUUCUCAAUGACAAAGAUACCUGAAAGGUUAGCAA